GAUCCUGGCUCAGAAUCAACGCUGGCGGCGUGCCUAACACAUGCAAGUCGCACGAGAAAGGGUAGCAAUACCUGAGUAAAGUGGCGCACGGGUGAGUAACACGUGAAUCAUCUACCUCCGAAUGGGGAAUAACUGAGAGAAAUCUUAGCUAAUACCGCAUAAUACCUACGGGUCAAAGCAGCAAUGCGUUUGGAGAGGAGUUCGCGGCAGAUUAGUUAGUUGGCGGGGUAAUGGCCCACCAAGACGAUGAUCUGUAUCCGGCCUGAGAGGGCGCACGGACACACUGGAACUGAAACACGGUCCAGACUCCUACGGGAGGCAGCAG
rnacentral:rRNA from 1 species